ensembl:misc_RNA Y_RNA Y RNA
AGCUGGUCUGAGUGCAGUGGGGUUUAUAACUAAUUGAUCACAACCAGUUACAGAUUCCUUUGUUCCUUCUCCACUCCCAUGCUUUGCUUAACUAGGAAAA